rnacentral:rRNA from 1 species
UACGGAGGGGGCAAGCGUUGUUCGGAAUUACUGGGCGUAAAGCGUGCGCAGGCGGCGCGUUAAGACAGGUGUGAAAGCCCCGAGCUUAACUUGGGAAUUGCGCUUGUGACUGGCGUGCUGGAGUGUGGCAGAGGGAGGUGGAAUUCCACGUGUAGCAGUGAAAUGCGUAGAGAUGUGGAGGAACACCGAUGGCGAAGGCAGCCUCCUGGGCCAGCACUGACGCUCAUGCACGAAAGCGUGGGGAGCAAACAGG